CCUACGGGUGGCUGCAGUGGGGGAUAUUGCACAAUGGGGGAAACCCUGAUGCAGCGACGCCGCGUGUGGGAAGACGGUCCUCUGGAUUGUAAACCACUGUCUCCAGGGACGAAGAUGACGGUACCUGAAAAAGAAGCUCCGGCUAACUACGUGCCAGCAGCCGCGGUAAGACGGAGGGGGCAAGCGUUAUUCGGAUUUACUGGGAGUAAAGGGAGCGUAGAUGGAAAUGCAAGUCGGAAGUGAAAACCCAAGGCUCAACCAUGGUACUGCAUUUGAAACUGGCAGUCUUGAGUACAGUAGAGGAGGGCGGAAUUCGAGGUGUAGCGGUGAAAUGCUUAGAUAUCACGAAGAACUCCGGUGGCGAAAGCGGCUCACUGGACUGCAACUGACACUGAGGUUCGAAAGUGUGGGUAUCAAACAGGAUUAGAUACCCGUGUAGUC
rnacentral:rRNA from 1 species